rnacentral:rRNA from 1 species
UAGGGAAUCUUCCACAAUGGACGCAAGUCUGAUGGAGCAACGCCGCGUGAGUGAAGAAGGGUUUCGGCUCGUAAAGCUCUGUUGUUGGUGAAGAAGGACAGGGGUAGUAACUGACCUUUGUUUGACGGUAAUCAAUUAGAAAGUCACGGCUAACUACGUGCCAGCAGCCGCGGUAAUACGUAGGUGGCAAGCGUUGUCCGGAUUUAUUGGGCGUAAAGCGAGUGCAGGCGGCUCGAUAAGUCUGAUGUGAAAGCCUUCGGCUCAACCGGAGAAUUGCAUCAGAAACUGUUGAACUUGAGUGCAGAAGAGGAGAGUGGAACUCCAUGUGUAGCGGUGGAAUGCGUAGAUAUAUGGAAGAACACCAGUGGCGAAGGCGGCUCUCUGGUCUGUUACUGACGCUGAGGCUCGAAAGCAUGGGUAGCGAACAGG